rnacentral:rRNA from 1 species
UACGUAGGGGGCAAGCGUUAUCCGGAAUUACUGGGCGUAAAGCGCGCGCAGGCGGUUUGCCAAGUUUGGAGUGACAGUUGUUGGCUCAACCGACAAAGGACUUCAAAAACUGGUGAACUUGAGGACGAGAGAGGAACAUGGAACUCCAGGUGUAGUAGUGAAAUGCGUAGAUAUCUGGAAGAACACCAAUGGCGAAGGCAAUGUUCUGGCGCGUUUCUGACGCUCAGGUGCGAAAGCCAGGGGAGCGAACGGG